CCUACGGGAGGCAGCAGUGAGGAAUAUUGGUCAAUGGACGAGAGUCUGAACCAGCCAAGUAGCGUGAAGGAUGACUGCCCUAUGGGUUGUAAACUUCUUUUAUAUGGGAAUAAAACGUUCCACGUGUGGGAUUUUGUAUGUACCAUAUGAAUAAGUAUCGGCUAACUCCGUGCCAGCAGCCGCGGUAAUACGGAGGAUCCGAGCGUUAUCCGGAUUUAUUGGGUUUAAAGGGAGCGUAGGUGGAUUGUUAAGUCCGUUGUGAAAGUUUGCGGCUCAACCGUAAAAUUGCAGUUGAAACUGGCAGUCUUGAGUACAGUAGAGGUGGGCGGAAUUCGUGGUGUAGCGGUGAAAUGCUUAGAUAUCACGAAGAACUCCGAUUGCGAAGGCAGUUCACUGGACUGCAACUGACACUGAGGCUCGAAAGUGUGGGUAUCAAACAGGAUUAGAUACCCGAGUAGUC
rnacentral:rRNA from 1 species